AAUGUUAGACUGUGGUGGAAGAAAAGUUUUAGUGCUUUGAUCCAUUUUCCCAAAUCCAAAUGUUAUUCUAAUACUUCGGAUAACACAGCUUUAAGAAGGAGGCAAUGAUGUUUUGAAUUACAGUUGAUAAUCUGAAAUUUCUAUCUGCACCCCUCUGCAGAAUGCACAGGAGCUGAAUCUUGAUAUUCAAAGCAUAUUCAUCGUAGGGAUGAAAUAAUCAUUUAGAGACUGAAAACACAGGAUAUGAAUCUAACAAUACCAUUACAUUUUAAAUAAAAACUUCUUUCAAAGUCCUUCCCCCAGAAUUGUGUUCAGAUACUAGAAAUCCUUAAGGUUGCAAGUAAAGGUAUCAAGGAGUCAGACUGCAACCGCUUCUUACUAUGAUCUCAUUCAUGUGGCUGAGUUGGAGAGAAAGAAGAUAAAAUAAUUAUGAAUACAUGGCUUUAAGCACAACCUUCUACGAAGGGUGGCAUUCUCAACCUUUUGGGUGGAUAGUAAGCUGAAGAAGAAGUGAGGAGAAAGGAAUCUGGUGGAAAUUUCCUUGUACUUUAUCUCCUGAAAGAUCUAUGAAUGCUAUGGCCUUGUAGGCUCCUUUUGCAAACACACACAGAAGGCAAGAGGAUCUUAAUCAUGUUAUCACCUCCUUCUUCAAUUUCUGUCUGCAUUUCAGUCAGAUUUUGCACUUAUUUCAACAGAAUAUAUUUAGUGUAAAGAGUUAGUGUACUAAAGCAACUCAGUGAUCGCAGGAGAAAAUGGAAAUCUAGAGUCAUGUGAAGCAGCACUAGUGAAGAAGAAACACCAGAAAAUCUGAUUAGUCAAGACAUCAUUAUUAGAAUCCACAAGAGGAAUACCAUUCAUUUGUACAUUUGUUUUGAAAAGUGGGAGCUGUUCUACUUAACCUUAAUCAUCAGAUGCUCAGGACUAAACAUGUUAAUUGGAUGCAUUAUAAUCAAACAGAUUAAAGCAGCUCUUCAUGCACUCUUAAGAGAACCUAUUUAGCUAUAAAAGCCUUGUUUCUUUUACUUACUGUAAAGAACUAAUAGAAGACAAACAGUUUCACAAUUUCUGUAAAGAAAUCCCUCCCACAGUUGAGCUAUUUACAACUGCUACCAGAACAGAUCUUGCAGCUAGAGAUGCUGCAACAUGUAUAGGAGGAAAAAAAACAAUGGACUGGAAUAGAAUCUAGUUCAGGAAGAGAGCAAAAAGCAAGCAAAAAGUUGGAGACAUCAUUACUAAUAGUUUGAGACCUUUUCAGAAUGCAGAAUGAAACAAGGUUUUGAGGCACACACAAAAGUGGUCAAAGCCCAGAGUGAAGGUGUUGAUCACUGGAGCUCAUAGGAAUUACAGUAGAAUUCCUAUGAACAAAAGAAACCCUGAGAGCCCUAGCUGAAGUGUUUGACAGCAACAUACCACGUUGUCAGAAAAUUCUCAAACUGGUCCAAUUAUCAAGGGCAAAUUAUACAGGCAUCAUCAUCUGGAGAAAGGGUCGAUAAAUAUUUUGCAAAUAUAAUGAAAUUAGUCAUUCAGAUGUUCACAAGGAGAUUGAGACCUUCAGUUGAAAGAGUUUAAAGAAAACAAUCCAUUAUGUCUUUUGGCAAUAGGGCACAGGUAACACUGUAACACUCUCAUGCAUAACGAAUGUCACUUUCAGGAGUGACUGGUGCUCUAGAAGACGGAGCUUCUAACUCACACAGAUGCACCUGAGAAUUUUGCUUAAGGUGAAGCUAAUACGUGGAAAGAUUGUAUAACCAAGCUUUUCUUAAGCAAGCACUAACGUAAUUAUGAUAAAAUAUAAUUAACAAAAAUACAAGCAUUCCUUAUGGAAAUAUUAGAAAUGUUAGAUAUGGCAGGAUUUCCUAGGACUUCAGACAAUCCUCAGAAACAAAGGAAUUACACUACUUUUCAAGCAGCUGCUGUUGAUAAUGUUUCCUUUUAGAUCUCCACUUCCAAGUUUCAGCCCACACUGCAGCAGGGACCCUCUGCUGACACAAUAAAAUACUUGAUUCAGUAUUUUCUUUCCCAAUCUUUCAGCUGACCUAAGCAGCUUCUUAGGCUAAAAUGACUCAGCACUGUAGUUAGAUAACAUUUUCUUCAUUCCUUCCUAAAGUUCAAAUAACACAGACAGCCAUUCACUUCUUUCAGGCUCUUCAGCAGACUCUUUGCAGCUAUCUGGCUCUCCUAAAGUACCAACAAUUCAGUUUUACUGGAUUUCAGACAAGAAUGAAUCAAACACUGACAUUCAAAGAAAGCAAUCUUCUUCUGCAAUCUUUAUUUUCUAGGAAGAGUCUGACAGAAAUUCUUCAUUUCUGGCUUUUGUGCCUUUGUCAUCCAGCUAUAUUCCUAAGCAAAAUGAAGUCUUCCAUUUUCAAAAUUUCUAAUCUUUCAGUUUCAUUAAAAAAUGGUUCUGCUCCAGAGAGAGGGAGACCAAGUCACAAGAAAGGUACUGGCUAAGCAAACAUAUCCAAUAGCCACGUCUUAAGACAUGAACUGAACUUAAAUUCCUGAAGUUAGCACUCAGUGUCUUCCUUCAGACAGCUAAUAGUCCUCCACAUCGUUGAUGUUGCAUCUUCAUCUUCAGCAGACAAGUUCAAAGCUCCAGCAGCCAAUAUUUGUGCAUAUCCUUUGCAUACACUCUCACUGGCUCUCAGUUAUUACCUCUGCUGGAGCAUCCAAAUAGGGCUAGCUAUUUUUGGCUGCUAUUUACAGCUCCAAUGAGUAGACUCUGGUGAGUACACCUGGUAACACUGGCUUAGAACAAGACUAACUCAGACACACAAUACAAACAGGAAGAAAUGGAGAGAGCCUGGGUGUUAUUGAUAUAAGAUUGUAUUUUUACUAGGCUAAUAAAUACUGUGUCUGCUCAUUCCUGUGGGUGUGUGGAAAUCUCAUUUCACAGUGUCACAUUCCUGAAGAGCACAGUUGGCAUAAUCCAGAUAACACACUUUAAGCACAACAGCAUUACCUUGUCUUUUUAUAAAAUAGACUUUGGCAGACUUAAGAAAUAAGUAGAGAAAAGUUAGUCUCAUGGAAAUCUGCUAUCUUCAGUGCUGAGGAUGAUUCAGCCACCACCAUUCCUCCGAUCAAGCCAGCCUAAUUGCUUUGUUUUUGUGGGCUCUUAGGGGAUAACAUAACUAUGAAUCCGAAAAAAAUAGAAACACUGACUGUGCUGACUUUUGAUCAAUCACCACCUAGCCUAGGAACGUCAGACCUUUUAAAUGUCUCUUCUUUGCCAAAAAUUAAUGAGCCAAAAAUAAGUACCAGAACUUGGAACCCACUCUGUCUCAGUUGUAUUCAAUGCCACAGCCACACUGGAGGAUGAGGAAAGAGAGAAAAGGAAUGAAAAAGGAAAGCAAAGAUUGGUAAUAAAUGCAGCAUGACUUUUUUUGUUCAUUUUUCAACAUGAGCAACUACUAGAACCAUAUGAAACUCCUGGUGGCCAAAGCAAAGCUAGGUCAUUUUAGGUUUUAUUGAGUAGUUUCAAACAGAUUCAAAAUUAGGAAUGAACAAUAAACAGCUCAGCAUUUCAUAUACAAGGAGCCAAACAGAAAAAGUCAGGAAAAGGAGCUGGCUUUGUAUCAUACUGGGCUGCAAAAAGCAGCUUCUGAAACAGCCCAAAUUAGCUCUUAGUUUCCCUUUGAGUGUUUCAUUUCAUAGGUCGUUGUGAAUUUUCAUGAGACUGCUGUUGCCCAGAAGCCUUCUGCAAAUUCACCUGUGUGCUACCACAGUGCUUUAAAAGUCAUUGCUUGCUUGUUUUAAACAGAGCAUCACCUCAGAUGAUCACAGUUCAGAUGUCUGUUAUUUUACUCAUCAUCAUCUAGCACUUUAAUUACCAUAAACUUCACCAAAGGAUGCUGGUUUUUGAUGUUAUAAGACACAGUAAAGUCAAAUUCAUCAGAUGGAGAUUAGAUACAGACUUAGCUUCACUGCUUAAUGCCCUAAGUGGAUGGGACGUACGCUGUAAGCUCAGAAAGUCACUUCUUACACUGAGUCUAAACCAGACAUUUUGCAUCUUGAAGCCAGAUCCUGUCCCAAGCAUCUGAGGUGAAGCCCAGACCCCCUCAUAACCAGGAUGACAAUUUCAGGCCUGCAUUGUAGGUUUACACCUUCAGAACACCGCUUCAUUUCUGGGAUUCCAUCCCCUGUCCCCCUAUGAGAAGGUCUCGGUGUAUCACACCACCACGUUCCACCCCCUGCAGAACCCUACCGACUGCGCUCUUCCCGCUGCAUUCCCAUUCCCUCCCCUUGAGAGCCCCCACAUCCUCUGCUUUAAGGCCGGGAAGAAGCCGGGACGAGGACUGGCUGUUUCCCCGCCCCGCCGUUAGGGAUCGGCUCGGCCCGGCUCGGCUCCAGAAAAGCAGCCCUGCGGUGCUGAGGAGAGCCGGGCGGGCGGGAAACUUCCAGAAGGUUCUUCAAAGCCAGCGGGGUGUCGGUGAACGCAGCUGUGGGGCAGGGCUGGACAGCACGUAGGCCUUCCCUCAGCUGAGGAAAAAGAAGCUGUCCCUCGGGUGGCAGGAGAAGAGCUUUCCUUCAGCUUCAAUGAGGAUUCCAUCCCAUUUUUACUCCAUGAUCCUUCAGGCAGAACAGAUCCUUUAUGAACAGAACCACUUUAACCUUUCACAUAUGAUCUACAGCUGCUGGAUGCAACAGGAAAUGAAGCGUGGGGAUUGUGUCAUCAUCUGCUCCCACCCGCAAUUCAGUGCAGCACCAGAGUGUUUCCAGUGCCUUUUGAGCUUGAGGAAAUGAGAGAAAAAGGAAGAAACACUGUCUGGAAGUCUGGUACUCUCCUCUGGUCAGAAUACUACAGCGGGGCAGUAAAUGUAGUUAUGAACUAUCCUGAAGGAAGGCAAAUCCAUGCAUAAGAAGAUGACAUUACUCUCAGCUAAUUGAAAUCUAAAUACAAUUAGAUCUCAUUUGAAAAUGUUCUUUAUACACAGAAGGCUAAAAUAGAAAGCAGAAUUGCUGAUGGGAAG